rnacentral:lncRNA from 1 species
CUCAAUCCAGAUCCAUCCCUCCCUUCCCUGCGCACUGCUGUAGCACGGUGACUAGCCAUGGAGGCAUGGCGGAGCAAGGCUUCCCACUUAUUUGCAGUUUCUAUACGUUACAAGAUACAACAACACCGACUGGAGGAUGUCUUUCCCUGCCCUGAAGGAGGAGGAAGCAGAGGUGUUGAGUCCUAUGCAGGCAGAGGGAGUCCUAACCUAAUUCAAUUGUCAGCGCGCGUUCAGACUACACUUGAAGGGAAAAAACUAAGCUAGAAUAAGCAGAUAAAUGUGAAGAAACAGCAGGCAUAUAAGGAGACAUGAUGGAAAUGCAAGACAUCGAGAUAUUUGAGGAAAUGGCACAACACCAAUAAGAGGGUGAUGUGUGACUGUGCUACUCCUCUCCAUGCAUCACUCAGCCUCCAGCACCUUGACCCAGCCAUCGUCAGUCACUCCCACACUUGAGAGGCAGCAGCACAUUAGCCAAGACUACCACUGUGGUCAGGCUCUGAACUCUUGGCUGUACAUCCAAGGAACCUUCAAACCACUCAGCUGAAGGUGAUGUAAUGUAAUACUGUAUAUUGCAAACUCAGCCUCAUGAACAACCAAGUUUGUGUGAAGGACCCUUUCAGCAUUUUAGGAACUGCCUUUCUUUGUAUGUAUUCAGGAGUAAAACUUUAAUCAAC